rnacentral:rRNA from 1 species
AACGUAGGAGACAAACGUUAUCCGGAGUUACUGGGCGUAAAGGGCGUGUAGGCGGUCUGUUAAGUCUGGCGUGAAAGCUCUCGGCUAAACCGGGAGAGGUCGUUGGAUACUGGCAGACUAGAGGACGGUAGAGGCGUGUGGAAUUCCGGGUGUAGUGGUGAAAUGCGUAGAGAUCCGGAGGAACACCAGUGGCGAAGGCGACACGCUGGGCCGUACCUGACGCUCAGGCGCGACAGCGUGGGGAUCAAACAGG